rnacentral:tRNA from 1 species
UCCUUGGUGGUCUAGAGGUUAAGACUCUGCACUUCCACUGCAGGGGGUCACAGGUUCGAUCCCUGGUCAGGAAA